AUUGAACGCUGGCGGCAGGCCUAACACAUGCAAGUAGAACGAGUGGCGGACGGGUGAGUAAUGUCUGGGAAACUGCCCGAUGGAGGGGGAUAACUAAUGGAAACGGUAGCUAAUACCGCAUACCAUCGGAUGUGCCCAGAUGGGAUGAGCUAGUAGGUGGGGUAGUGGCUCACCUAGGAGACGAUCCCUAGCUGGUCUGAGAGGAUGACCAGCCACACUUGAACUGAUACACGGUCCAGACUCCUACGGGAGGCAGCAGUGGGGAAUAUUGCACAAUGGGCGGGAGCCUGAUGCAGCCAUGCCGCGUGUAUGAAGAAGGCCUUCGGGUUGUAAAGUACUUUCAGCGAGAAGGCGUUACUCGCAGAAGAAGCACCGGCUAACUCCGUGCCAGCAGCCGCGGUAAUAC
rnacentral:rRNA from 1 species